rnacentral:rRNA from 1 species
GACGAAAGUCUGACGGAGCAACGCCGCGUGAGUGAAGAAGGUUUUCGGAUCGUAAAACUCUGUUUUCAGGGACGAAUGUGCUAUUUGUGAAUAAUGAGUAGUAAUGACGGUACCUGACAAGAAAGCCACGGCUAACUACGUGCCAGCAGCCGCGGUAAUACGUAGGUGGCAAGCGUUGUCCGGAAUUAUUGGGCGUAAAGCGCGCGCAGGUGGGAUAAUAAGUCUGGUGUUAAAGUUCGGGGCUCAACCCCGUGAAGCAUUGGAAACUAUUAUUCUUGAGUGCAGGAGAGGAAAGUGGAAUUCCUAGUGUAGCGGUGAAAUGCGUAGAUAUUAGGAGGAACACCAGUGGCGAAGGCGACUUUCUGGACUGUGUCUGACACUGAGGCGCGAAAGCCAGGGUAGUGAACGGGAUUAGAUACCCCGGUAAUCCUGGCCGUAAACGAUGGGUACUAGGUGUUGGGGGUAUCGACCCCUCCAGUGCCGGAGUUAACGCAAUAAGUACCCCGCCUGGGGAGUAC